rnacentral:tRNA from 4 species
AAGAAAGUGGCAGAAUGGUUAUGCGGUUGGCUUGAAACCAAUUUAUGGGGGUUCAAUUCCUUCCUUUCUCG